rnacentral:pre_miRNA from 1 species
GUGGAUAUUCCUUCUAUGUUUAUGCUUUUUGUGAUUAAACAUAGAGGAAAUUUCACGU